rnacentral:rRNA from 1 species
UACGUAGGGUGCAAGCGUUGUUCGGAUUUACUGGGCGUAAAGGGCGCGUAGGCGGCCAGCACAAGUCAGUUGUGAAAUCUCCGGGCUUAACUCGGAAAGGUCAACUGAUACUGUGCGGCUAGAGUGCAGAAGGGGCAACUGGAAUUCUCGGUGUAGCGGUGAAAUGCGUAGAUAUCAGGAGGAAUACCGAUGGCGAAGGCAGGUCUCUGGGCUAUAACUGACGCUCAUGCACGAAAGCGUGGGGAGCAAACAGG